UAGUCUCACUUCCGACUCUCCUUCCCUUACAUCACUUCGACACGAGGUGUCUCAGGCUAAUGUGUCUGUACCAUACCAUCGGAAUUCUGUGUCUAAAGCCAACGCUUUUUUUUUUUUUUUUUUAUUAUUGAGAAAUUACGAGAAUGUGUCGUCACUUCCCUUGGAAGGAAGAACCUGACCCCACAAGGUGUUGACACAAGUCCAAUUAAGAAUAGGAGGAUGGAGACCUUUGUCAAGAAUAUGUACAAACUAAGAAUAUGCACACGAAGAAGCAAUUGUGUUUGUAAAGGAUCCUUGGAGAGCGCAGCUACUUGACCCACGUAGAGAAAUAUCGAGGACUUCUUCCUAAGAAACAUGUCAACAAACCGUAACUUCACAUUCAAACGCGAAGUGAUGUUGCGUUCUCCGUUCACCAGCCACCAUUGCGAGCAUAUAAUCGUAUUCUUGACAAACAGGAACUUUUUAUAUGAGUGUUACUGAGAUUUAUGUUUUGCUGUUUGAAAUUCUAGGGAAAUUUUAAGAUUGUGGACAUUUUUAUAUAUCAUUUUGUGUAAGUGACUUGCUUGAAUAUUGAAGCUUCAGUUCUUCGAAGGAAAAUCAUCUCCACUUACUUGCUAUCACAGAAAAUGAACUGCACAUUAAUUAUUAUGAUAAGGAAGUUCUUUGCAGAUUAAUUGCUGGUGUUUAAAAAUAUUUUAUUCAUUUACAUAGCUGUUUAUAAAAAUGAGAAUAUGUAACUUUUUUUCACUUCUUCCAAACAAGUUAUACUUAGUCUGUUUAGCUCAAAUGUUUUUUUUGUUCAUGUAAAGUAAUCUGUUCUCGUUAUCCCGUCGUACCCUUCAUCUGUAUUUUAUUUGCUCAGUCAUAUGCUAUUCUGUUAGGUCUAAAUCCGCUGGACUGUUGCUGUGGAAACCAGUAUUUGCAUUUGGUAGCCGUGAUCCUAAGACUUGCUCUUACCUGUUUUGUGAACGUUUGGUGUGAUUCUUGAAGUAAGAUUGAAUAGAAUUAUAUAUAUUUCAUUUUCACUUUAAUACGCAAAAAUGCCAUGUCACAUACAACCUUCCUGGAAAUUCUUUUGCUUUUUCUGAUUUUAUUUGUAAUGAUUAUUUAGAGAAGUUUUUUUGGUCCUGAUUGGAACCACUUUGUAAAACGUACAUACCUUAUUAUAUUUAUUUCAGUGGUAAUAUUUCUUUAUAAGGUAAUUUUCAAAAGGCAUACCAGUGUCAAAAAUAUUAAUUAAUAUCAGUCUGCUGUGGUAACAAUGACCGAAUUCUAUUAAGAUAGUUUUCCUCGAGCUAUAUUUGUAUAUUCAUUUAUUUUGGGGAAUAAAAACCUCACAUUUACUUGAUGACCUUUAUUGAAAAUAAAAUGUUUCUUCAUAUAUAUAUUUUAUUUAUCCGAAUUAAUUAAUUCGGUUAUAAACAUUAACAGUGGCUUCUGGAAUCUGUGACUGAUAGGUGAAAUAAUUAUGUAUUAUUAUAAAUAGACUUGAUUUUUACAUCAGGCUGUUGUAAAUUAGUCGCCUUGAUUGAGAUGAAUAAAGUUUCUGUCCUGAGUAUAUAAGGUUUCAUGAAAAUAAAUUUUGAUGUUAUAUUUAUCACUCAACCAACGAAAUUCAGAAAUAUUUCAUUAUCCUUUUUUCCUUUCUUGAAACAAUGCAACUAGUUUAACAUGAAUUUUUUAUGUACUAUACAUUUCUUCUCGUCUUUCGUUAUUAUUCCUGUUUUCUCUUGUUUCCAUUAUUUACACUUUCAUAUAUGUCUUCAUAAUUUAUAGUUCUGACUUUUGAUUCCUUCGUAUUUUUGCCUGCUGGACACAGUGGUCAUUUCGUUUUCCCUACGAACAAUUUCUAGGAAUUUUUCCACAGUUAAUUAAAAUCACUUUCGCUGAUUCCCAUAAUUUUCUUUUUCCUUAAACCUCCUUUCUCCUCGUCUCCGGAGGUAGAAACCAUUUUGCUAUCUUUUGACCAGGACAUGCCGUUGCUUCUCUAAACUUUUUGUUUUUCUCCCUGCAGAAACAUUUCUUCCUCGGUUGUCGCUUAUAUUUCUCUUUUUAUCUUUUUCUCGUCUGUUCUUCUUCUUUCAUCCACUCCCAUAUAUAUAAGAGUAAAUUAUAUAUUUACAACAACAUUUGGGGUUCUCGU